rnacentral:lncRNA from 10 species
UCUGUCGCUGAUGCAGGAAAUUCAACUAUUACAAAUGACUGCCCUUGGCUUAAAGCUGUGUCUCCAACUGGUAGGAAGAGUAACAUGUUUCCUUAUCUCACCUGCACUUUAGACUCUCAGAGGAGGGAAGUCAGGGGUGGAGAACAAGAUCUGAAAAUAUAUUUUCCUUGCCUGAUAACUUUUAUCCAAAGUGAAAGGCUUUGCUUGUCCCUCUGGGAGAGGGAGAGAAACAGAUUGAGAAGGGACAAGCCUGCCUGCCUGGCCCUGCCCAGCCAUUCUGCCUCCCUCCCCUGCAAGCCAGGAAACCAGACUUUCGGGGCUGGAGGGUCUGUGAGGAUGACAGGAGGGCUGGACAUUUGGGACCCUAAUGAGGGAGGGGUAGGCUCAGGGACAAGACAUCCACUCUGACAGCCACACGGUCAGCUGACCCCCACUGCUGGGAAUGCAUGCAUGGCUCCAGUCGCAUCCCACACUGGAUGGGCAUCACCUCUGCUUGAAUCAACCAAAGGGAAACAAGUCCACGGGCCCACCAGACCUUAAAUGCAAGGCUUGAAAAUGAGGCACAUUCAUGCAACAUGUAACCAGCCCAACCUGGAGCAGACAAAGGACUCCAGGAGAUCGAGUCCAGGAGACACCUGUAUUCGGUUACCAACAGCUCAUUUCC